rnacentral:ncRNA from 1 species
CACCGCCCGUCGCUAGUACCGAUUGAAUGGCUUAGUGAGGCUUCCGGAUUUGCUUCGAAGGAGGGGCAACUCUCUUUCAGAGCGGAGAAGCUAGUCAAACUUGGUCAUUUAGAGGAACUAAAAGUCGUAACAAGGUUUCCGUAGGUGAACCUGCGGAAG